UAUGGCGGAUGGCGAGGAGCCGGAGAAGAAAAGAAGGAGAAUAGAGGAGCUGCUGGCUGAGAAGUUAGUGCUGCCGGGAGGCCGGGGCCCUCUCCGGGGACCCCCGCCUCCCCCCACCCCAGGCCUAGGGGACCAGCCGCAGCGGGCCCGGGGGGCUGGGAGGGGGACACCCGGAGCGCAGGCCGCGCGGCCUCAUCCCCUGAUCCCCGUCCCGCAGCCCCGGGGGCCUGGCGGGCCGCUCCCGGUAUCUGCCCGGUGCGGGCGUCGGGGCCAGGCUGCACUGCCCCAGCUCCUGCAGGGGCCCUCCGGGGUGCCUGACGUAAAGGUCUUGAGGAAGGACCCUUGUGCACUCCUCUUCCUCCAUCCCAAAUUGUCAGAGCAGUGACCCUGUGAAAAGGCAGUCUACCUUAAACACACAGGAAAAGGACACA
rnacentral:sRNA from 1 species